rnacentral:rRNA from 1 species
CGGAGAGGUCGCAUGAGAAACGGCUACCACUUCUAGGGAAGGCAGCAGGCGCGCAAAUUACCCAAUCCUGACUCAGGGAGGUAGUGACAAGAAAUAACAAUAAACCGGCUUAUGCCGGUUUAAUUGGAAUGAGUACAAUUUAAACAUCUUAACGAGGAACAAUUGGAGGGCAAGUCUGGUGCCAGCAGCCGCGGUAAUUCCAGCUCCAAUAGCGUAUACUAAAGUUGUUGCAGUUAAAAAGCUCGUAGUUGGAUUUCUGCGGGGACGGAGCGGCCGGACGCAACUUGCGUCUCGAGCUAGCGCUUUCCCCGCAUCCUGCCGCGAACCGUGCUACCAUUAGCUUGGUGACGCUGGGGAUCGGCUCGAUUACUUUGAGAAAAAUAGAGUGUUCAAAGCAGGCCACACGCCUUGAAUAAGUUAGCAUGGAAUAAUGACUAAGGACUUCGGUUCUAUUUUGUUGGUGUUCGGGACUGAAGUAAUGAUUGAUAGGGACAGUUGGGGCGGUCUGUAUUCCAAAGCGAGAGGUGAAAUUCUUAGACCUUCGGAAGACAAACAGCUGCGAAAGCGCUCCGCAAGGAUGUUCCCUUUGAUCAAGAACGAAAGUUGGGGGAUCGAAGACGAUCAGAUACCGUCGUAGUCUCAACUAUAAACUAUACCAGCUAGGGAUCGGUCAACGUUUAAUCAUUCGACUUGAUCGGCACCUUAUGAGAAAUCAAAGCAUCUGGGUUCCGGGGGGAGUAUGGUUGCAAGGCUGAAACUUAAAGGAAUUGACGGAAGGGCACCACCAGCCAUGGAGCCUGUGGCUUAAUUUGACUCAACACGGGAAAACUUACCAGGUCCAGACAUAGUAAGGAUUGACAGAUUGAUAGCUCUUUCUUGAUUCUGUGGGUGGUGGUGCAUGGCCGUUCUUAGUUGGUGGAGUGAUUUGUCUGGUUAAUUCCGUUAACGAACGAGACCCCAGCCUGCUAAAUAGCGCGGCUGAGCUUUGCUCGGUGCGAGCUUCUUAGAGGGACUAUGUUGCGCGAUAGCACAUGGAAGUUUGGGGCAAUAACAGGUCUGUGAUGCCCUUAGAUGUUCUGGGCCGCACACGGGCUACACUGGCGCCUGCAACGAGCAUAUCAGCUGACCCGAGAGGGUCUUGGCUAAUCUUUGGAACCGGCGCCGUGCUUGGGAUUGACCAUUGCAAUUGUUGGUCAUGCAGCGAGGAAUGCCUUGUAAACGCGAGUCAUCAGCUCGCAUUGAAUACGUCCCUGCCCUUUGUACACACCGCCCGUCGCUCCUACCGAUGAAUGUUCCGAUGAAAUUUUCGGAGAGCGUUGGAGAACGGGGCUCCGCCUUGCAGAACUGGAGGCUCAAAGUCACUUAAAUCUGAACAUUUCGAGGAAGGAGAAGUCGUAACAAGGUAACC